rnacentral:rRNA from 1 species
AGCGAACGCUAGCGGCGAGCUUAACACAUGCAAGUCGAGCGGAGGGUUUCGGCCCUCAGCGGCGGACGGGUGAGUAACACGUAGGUUACGUGCCCUUUGGUGGGGAAUAACUUAGGGAAACCUGAGCUAAUACCGCAUAUGCCCUUCGAGGUGAAAGUCUUCGGACGCCAGAGGAUCGGCCUGCGGCCCAUUAUUUAAUCCUUGUUGGUGGGGUAACGGCCUACCAAGGGUACGAUCCAUAGCUGGUUUGAGAGGAUGAUCAGCCACACUGGGACUGAGACACGGCCCAGACUCCUACGGGAGGCAGCAGUGGGGAAUCUUAGACAAUGGGGGAAACCCUGAUCUAGCCAUGCCGCGUGAUCGAUGAAGGCCUUAGGGUUGUAAAGAUCUUUCAGGUGGGAAGAUAAUGACUGUACCACCAGAGGAAGCCCCGGCUAACUACGUGCCAGCAGCCGCGGUAAUGUACAGUGU